CUCAGCAGGUUCAAACAGGACAGUGUGAGAAAAAAAGCAAGUUUCCUACAUUUUCCGGCUCACCUUCUCAAUUCUACCAGUUUCUAGGAUCUGAGCCCCUUUUCUCCUGAUUAAUCCACUGCAGGCCUAGAGCCAAGCUGCCCUGUUUAUUAAAAGGGGAUACCCACUACAGCGUCCACUGCAGAUGCACUUCAAGAUUUCAAAGACUUCCAGCCACAAGAAGACGGCAAGUGAAGAAAAUAGAAGAAAGUGAAUAGUAGCUCAUGGGAAAACUCUCGGGAAUCAUGCUAGGGAAGAUUCUGACAGAGGUGAACUUCAAGCAAGUCAACUAGAGAUAAAAACAUGAAGUAUCACGUGAAAUCUUAGUCACAGGAUGGUGAAAAUGAGAAAACUUGGAAUAUUUUCACACUUGGAAGACUGCUUUCUGCAUUAAACCAAGUCCUAGAGGCAUCAUUCUUCAAGCAGGAAAUUACUGCUGCUGCUGGAUGGGGCCAUUUGGUUACAGCACGCGAUGGAUGGUUUGAUGAUUUCAAGGCAAAGUCUUGAGAACUUCUUAAGAAUUGAGAGACCAAUCUGCUGAGCUUAUGAAAAGAAAGCAACAAAAAACUGAAUAACCAAUUCUAAAGGCCAAAACAGUUG